CCUACCUUAGGCAGAACCAGAAAUGGCCUCCCCCUCACCGGCAGCCAAACUAACUAGCCUAGGACACAGUGGCCUGGGAACUGGGGGGGUUGGCAGCAGCUGGCGGGGAGAGAAGACCAUCCACUUGUCCCCAAGCCCAGGGGCGUGUGGGCUGCAGGCGCCAGGCUGGGCUGGGGAAGAGCCGGCAGGAGAGCUGAGGGCCCUUGAUGAUGGACUCCUGUCUAAGACCUCUGCCUGGUUCCAGCGAGUAGGCGCCUGAGCUGCUCCAGCUUCUGCCAUCACACCCACAUCGCAGCCACUAGAGUCUCACAAAGUUGCCCAAACAGGCCUCAAGCUUGCAAUCCUCCUGCCUCGGCCUCCCUGGUCGCUGGGACUACAGGUGUGGGCCACGUGCCCAGCUCUGUGAGGCAGUUCACUCCAGGUUUGCAUCCUGGAGGGUUUCCUUCUGAACACUCCCCAGCGCCCGAUCUGGUAUUGGAUGGCGGCCUAGGCUGAGACUCAGGCGCAUGUCCACAUGGCCUCCUCAUGUGGCAAGGCUUCCUCACAACAUGGCGGCUGCUUCUCAAGGGUGAGCCUUUGAGAGAAAGAAGCUUACCACCCAAGCCACCAGCUACUUGGUGAUGCUGGCACCACAUUCUGUCCAUGUAGGCAUCACAAAUCCCAGCCUGUUCCAACAGGAAGAGGAAAUAGCUGCCUCUUGAUGUAAAGAUUGUGCAAGAGCCAUGGAAAAAAAUGCUGCUGCGA